rnacentral:piRNA from 1 species
UGAGGUGAGAACUAUAGUUGGAUGC